rnacentral:rRNA from 1 species
CCAGACUCCUACGGGAGGCAGCAGUGGGGGAUAUUGCACAAUGGGGGGAACCCUGAUGCAGCGACGCCGCGUGGGUGAAGGAGUAUUUCGGUAUGUAAAGCCCUAUCGGCAGGGAAGAAGCAAGACGGUACCUGACUAAGAAGCCCCGGCUAACUACGUGCCAGCAGCCGCGGUAAUACGUAGGGGGCGAGCGUUAAUCGGAAUUACUGGGCGUAAAGCGCUCGUAGGCGGUAUGUCAAGUCAAGGGUGAAAUCCCCGCGCUCAACGUGGGAACUGCCUGUGGACCUGGCAAACUGGAGUGUGUGAGAGGAUAGUGGAAUUCCAGGGGUAGGAGUGAAAUCCGUAGAUAUCUGGAGGAACAUCAGUGGCGAAGGCGACUAUCGGGCACAUAACUGCCGCUGAGCAGCGAAAGCGUGGGUAGCAAACAGGAUUAGAUACCCCUGUAC